AGCAGUCGCACGGUAAUACAGAGGGUGCAAGCGUUAAUCGGAAUUACUGGGCGUAAAGCGCGCGUAGGUGGUUUGUUAAGUUGGAUGUGAAAGCCCCGGGCUCAACCUGGGAACUGCAUCCAAAACUGGCAAGCUAGAGUACGGUAGAGGGUGGUGGAAUUUCCUGUGUAGCGGUGAAAUGCGUAGAUAUAGGAAGGAACACCAGUGGCGAAGGCGACUACCUGGACUGAUACUGACACUGAGGUGCGAAAGCGUGGGGAGCAAACAGGAUUAGAUACCCCAGUAGUCCCUGUCUCUUAUACA
rnacentral:rRNA from 1 species